AACGCGAAGAACCUUACCCAGACUUGACAUACAGUGGAAGUUUGUAGAAAUAUGAAUGUCCUUCGGGACCGCUGAACAGGUGCUGCAUGGCUGUCGUCAGCUCGUGCCGUGAGGUGUUGGGUUAAGUCCCGCAACGAGCGCAACCCUUAUCGUUAGUUGCCAACAGGUAAUGCUGGGAACUCUAGCGAGACUGCCUGGGUUAACCAGGAGGAAGGUGAGGAUGACGUCAAGUCCGCAUGGCCCUUAUGUCUGGGGCUACACACGUGCUACAAUGGCCGGUACAAAAGGCAGCGAAACCGCGAGGUGAAGCAAAUCCCCAAAGCCGGCCCCAGUUCAGAUUGUAGUCUGCAACUCGACUACAUGAAGACGGAAUUGCUAGUAAUGGCAGGUCAGCAACACUGCCGUGAAUACGUUCCCGGGCCUUGUACACACCGGUACUA
rnacentral:rRNA from 1 species